GAUGAACGCUGGCGGCGUGCCUAAUACAUGCAAGUCGAGCGAACAGACGAGGAGCUUGCUCCUCUGAUGUUAGCGGCGGACGGGUGAGUAACACGUGGAUAACCUACCUAUAAGACUGGGAUAACUUCGGGAAACCGGAGCUAAUACCGGAUAACAUGUUGAACCGCAUGGUUCAACAGUGAAAGACGGUCUUGCUGUCACUUAUAGAUGGAUCCGCGCCGCAUUAGCUAGUUGGUAAGGUAACGGCUUACCAUGGCAACGAUGCGUAGCCGACCUGAGAGGGUGAUCGGCCACACUGGAACUGAGACACGGUCCAGACUCCUACGGGAGGCAGCAGUAGGGAAUCUUCCGCAAAGGGCGAAAGCCUGACGGAGCAACGCCGCGUGAGUGAAGAAGGUCUUCGGAUCGUAAAACUCUGUUAUUAGGGAAGAACAAAUGUGUAAGUAACUAUGCACGUCUUGACGGUACCUAAUCAGAAAGCCACGGCUAACUACGUG
rnacentral:rRNA from 1 species